rfam:Triticum aestivum genome assembly, contig: Triticum_aestivum_CS42_TGACv1_scaffold_147601_2BS
AUGGUGCUCCCUCCAUUCGAAAUUACUUGUCGCAGAAAUUGAUGUAUCUAGACGUAUUUUAGUUCUAGAUACAUCCAUUUCCGAGACAAGUAAUUCCGAACGGAGGGAGUAAUAA